AUGGUCUCAUCAAUCUUUGGCUCCAGGAGCACAAAUCUCAAGCAGAACAUGGUGAUCAAGCUGAAGGCAAUUUAUACUCUGGUGGAACAGCUCUACACCGGGUCACAACAUGCUCUGGCCGUUGUGGCUUUAUCAAAUGAUGUUCCCUAUCUCCUGCAAGAUGUGCUGAAGCGGCUAGCUGUGCUACCUCAGCGAAUCCAAGAGUUAAGACGAGCAUCUGCAAGAGCCGGAGCAAUAGCCGCUUUGAGUCGGGCCAAAGCCUGGUUACCAGAGCUAGACCCGGCCGACAUCGCUCUUGGGUAUCCAAGUUUAAAGGAGGAUGGCAAUCCAUUUGAUGAAAAGGAUUUCACCACCUGCGUGAGGGAUAUACGCCCUGUGGCUACUCAAAUUGGAAAUGACACUGACCUCACCAAGUGUCAGCUGGGUUAUGACAAGGAGAAUCAAAGAAUCCCCACGCCGCAUUAUGAUAAUGUCAGCUUGAUUCCUCCAAUCCGUAAGCACACCUUUGCCCCUGAAGUCGACCCAACUGGUUUAAUAGAUGAUGAAACUGAGUUUGAGGCUUUGAGUGGCAUUGACUGGGCCUCAUCAUCCUUCCAGGACAAAGCAGCCGGCGGAGAGGCGGAGAAGGAUAACCCGGAAGCUUCAAGUCAACUCCAAGAGUAG
rnacentral:rRNA from 1 species